AGCGAACGCUGGCGGCAGGCCUAACACAUGCAAGUCGAACGAACCCUUCGGGGUUAGUGGCGGACGGGUGAGUAACACGUGGGAACGUGCCUUUAGGUUCGGAAUAACUCAGGGAAACUUGUGCUAAUACCGAAUGUGCCCUUCGGGGGAAAGAUUUAUCGCCUUUAGAGCGGCCCGCGUCUGAUUAGCUAGUUGGUGAGGUAAUGGCUCACCAAGGCUACGAUCAGUAGCUGGUCUGAGAGGAUGACCAGCCACAUUGGGACUGAGACACGGCCCAAACUCCUACGGGAGGCAGCAGUGGGGAAUCUUGCGCAAUGGGCGAAAGCCUGACGCAGCCAUGCCGCGUGGAUGAUGAAGGUCUUAGGAUUGUAAAAUUCUUUCACCGGGGACGAUAAUGACGGUACCCGGACAAGAAGCCCCGGCUAACUUCGUGACAGCCGCCGCAGUAAUAC
rnacentral:rRNA from 1 species